rnacentral:rRNA from 1 species
CCAGAGAACUUGGCAGAGAUGCCUUGGUGCCUUCGGGACCUCUGAGACAGGUGCUGCAUGGCUGUCGUCAGCUCGUGUUGUGAAAUGUUGGGUUAAGUCCCGCAACGAGCGCAGCCCCUAUCCUUUGUUGCCAGCGAUUCGGUCGGGAACUCAAAGGAGACUGCCGGUGAUAAACCGGAGGAAGGUGGGGAUGACGUCAAGUCAUCAUGGCCCUUACGAGUAGGGCUACACACGUGCUACAAUGGCGCAUACAAAGAGAAGCGACCUCGCGAGAGCAAGCGGACCUCAUAAAGUGCGUCGUAGUCCGGAUCGGAGUCUGCAACUCGACUCCGUGAAGUCGGAAUCACUAGUAAUCGUAGAUCAGAAUGCUACGGUGAAUACGUUCCCGGGCCUUGUACACACCGCCCGUCACACCAUGGGAGUGGGUUGCAAAAGAAGUAGAUAGCUUAACCUUCGGGAGGGCGUUUACCACUUUGUGAUUCAUGACUGGGGUGAAGUCGUAACAAGGUAAGCGUAGCGAG